CUCUGUGCUGACGCCCAUGUAUGUGCCAAGUGUAGAGAGGGCUACAGACUCCAGAGUGGACUGUGUGUGACGGCCCUUUGUAGAUCAGGCCAAGUGCAGGAUCCUGACACAGGAGAAUGUAUUGACUGUGAGACGGGCUGUAAAACAUGUUCCAGCGAUGAUCCGGAGCUGUGUGACAGCUGCACUGAUGGCUAUUUUCUCUAUAGGCACCAGUGUCGUCUGCACUGUCCACAGAGGAGUUAUGAGGACCGGAGCAGG